rnacentral:piRNA from 1 species
GCCCUCUUAAUGGUUCCUGUGGCAGUGC